UCGAGAAUUUUUCUCAAUGGGCGAAAGCCUGAAGGAGCGACGCCGCGUGGGGGAUGAAGGGUUUCGAUCCGUAAACCCCUGUCAUUUGUGAACAAUGCCUGCCUGAUAACACCGGGCAGGUUGAUAGUAAUGAAAGAGGAAGGGACGGCUAACUCUGUGCCAGCAGCCGCGGUAAUACAGAGGUCCCGAGCGUUGUUCGGAUUCACUGGGCGUAAAGGGUGCGCAGGUGGCGAGGCAAGUCGGAUGUGAAAGCUCCGGGCUCAACCCGGAAAUGGCAUUGGAAACUGCCUUGCUCGAGGUUUGGAGGGGGGACUGGAAUUCUCGGUGUAGCAGUGAAAUGCGUAGAUAUCGAGAGGAACACCAGUGGCGAAGGCGAGUCCCUGGACAAAUCCUGACACUGAGGCACGAAAGCUAGGGGAGCAAA
rnacentral:rRNA from 1 species